GGGGAUCUAGCUCAAAUGGUAGAGCGAUCGUUUAGCAUACGAUAGGCACUGGGAUCAAUGCCCAGGUUCUCCA
rnacentral:tRNA from 2 species